CCUGGUCCGCAGCCGAACCCUGUCGGCGGAUCGGCGUUUGGACCCGACAGGGGCGGAGGACCCACCAACCGGCAGCACCGUUCAGCUGCCUUUGGGGUGAAGCCUCGCUUGGAUUCGGCAUCAACUGUCUUGCCACGGUGAUGCCGCAUGCCAUGUGCGUGGCCGAGUUUUCUUCUACUCGAACCCGACAGCUAACUUCGCAGGCUUCCAGGAGAGGGAAG
rnacentral:sRNA from 2 species